rnacentral:lncRNA from 1 species
GUAUGCAGCGGAAAAGCUAACAAGAAGUAGAGACCGCGCGGAACCCAGACAGGGCAGAGGAUGUGCAUAAGUUUUGUUGAAACUGUCAACAGGGCAAGAGGUGAAUGCAGCAAAUCGUAAGGAGAAGACCUGAAUGAGGCAAGUGGCCACUCACCUUGUACCUGGGUCCCAAAUCCCCAGAGGCUCCAGGCUCAGCAACAGAUGCUCACAAUGAUGGCAACUGCUGAAGUUGAUGGGUAAUGAUUU